AGCAGUUACUGGGCUCUGAGGAGCAACUGCCAUAACUGACUCGUGGUGGAGCAGCAGAGGGAGAGGACACCACUGCUCCUGCCAGCUCCCACUGCUGAGGAGUGGUUUCGGUAACAAAACUAGGAAGAAGAACUGGGGCGUAGGCCAGAGGCGUGUUAGGUGAGAGGAUUCACCCGAUACAGAGUGGAGAGCAGAACAGGCAGAUCUACUGGAAUACACUGCUGAGGGGAGCAGCAAGCAAAACAGGGGAAAUGGACUGAAGAUUGGCCUCAGUAGAAAUGAGAUGGGACAGAGAACCUCUUUCGUCUUGCCUGCGCUCCUCUCAGCACUGUAUUCAAUAAGGACACUAAAGGCAAAGAAUUAAACAUCACAGGACAAUUCCUUGCAUGGAUCUACAUUGGAAGAGUUUAUUCCACAACCUCAGACUCAGAAUGGAAAUGGAAGAGGGACCAAAAUCACUAGAAGGUCCUUUGUACACUAAAUGUGCGAACUUCUACCUCAUCACAUUUAUAGUUGUUUUGAGAGAAAAUCCACAUCAUAGAGUGACAGGUCUAUCUCAACUUUCUGUAGCUCUCUGAUUUUAUAUUCAAAAUGAAUCAUGUUGUGUUGCUGUAAACAGCCUUUAUGGAAGGCUGGGAAAAAUGCCUUUGAAGAGUUACUAAUCAUAGAGCAACAAAGUCUUGAGAAACCCUUUCGACAUUAAUAGUUUCAAAGAAUGAACUUCAUGGUGAUUAAUAUUUUAUCCAUGUGUCUCAAAAUUCUUGAAGUUACUUUAUCAGUAUACGAAGACUGAACUAAAAUUUUCAGGUGUUCAUCAUUAAAACCCAACAUAUAUAUAUGAGGCAACAAA